rnacentral:rRNA from 1 species
UACAUGGGGUGCAAACGUUGCUCGGAAUUAUUGGGCGUAAAGCGCACGUAGGCGGUUCGUUAAGUCGGAUGUGAAAGCCCUCGGCUCAACUGAGGAAGUGCACCCGAAACUGGCGAGCUUGAGUACGAAAAGAGGAUCGCGGAAUUCCCGGUGUAGAGGUGAAAUUCGUAGAUAUCGGGAGGAACACCGGUGGCGAAGGCGGCGACUCUGGGUCCGAUACUGACGCUGAGGUGCGAAAGCGUGGGGAGCAAACAGG